AGAGGGUGAGGGGCAGAUGACCUCUCAUCAGGCUGGAUGAUGAAUAUCUUUCCCAUUGGAGAGUAUAGAAGUUUAUUCUUAUUCAGACAAGGAUGGGAUCUGAAUGUACGAUUUAAACGUUUGAGGACUUGGGCCACAUGGUUUGGGUAGUUGCAUGAAAAUGCUCGCGGAACAAUGUCUCUAUGCAUCAUCACACUCUGCACAUGAUUCUCAUCUAAACCCAAAUCAUUGAGCACCUUUUGACCACCACAGAACACAAAUGGUGAUCCAAAAGUGACAACUGGUAGAAGAGAGGACGGUUUGACAACCUUCCGAGUUAGCAGCAUUAAGUUGACCAGAAGU
rnacentral:misc_RNA from 1 species